rnacentral:rRNA from 1 species
UACGAAGGGGGCUAGCGUUGUUCGGAUUUACUGGGCGUAAAGCGCACGUAGGUGGCUCGAUCAGUCAGGGGUGAAAUCCCAGAGCUCAACUCUGGAACUGCCUUUGAUACUGUCGAUCUGGAGUAUGGAAGAGGUGAGUGGAAUUCCGAGUGUAGAGGUGAAAUUCGUAGAUAUUCGGAGGAACACCAGUGGCGAAGGCGGCUCACUGGUCCAUUACUGACGCUGAGGUGCGAAAGCGUGGGGAGCAAACAGG